GAAAUGCGAUAAGUAAUGUGAAUUGCAGAAUUCAGUGAAUCAUCGAAUCUUUGAACGCACCUUGCGCCCCUUGGUAUUCCGAGGGGCAUGCCUGUUUGAGUGUCGUGUUAAUCUCAAAUCACUUGUCUUUUGACUUGCGGUUUGGACUUGGAGGCUUAUUGCUGGCGCGAGGGGUGAUUUUGUUGUUGCGCUUUGGUUUAGUCGGCUCCUCUUAAAUGUAUUAGCUGGACUUUGGUUCGCGUUUGUGGUGUAAUAGUGUAUUGUUAUGCUUCACCGGAGCGCUUGCCUAACGAGUCUGCUUCUAAUGGUCCGUGUUACAAUUUAUUUUGUAAUAGGACAAGGAUCCCUUAGCGGCCUUGAAAUUUGAUACAUUUGACCUCAAAUCAGGUAGGACUACCCGCUGAACUUAA
rnacentral:misc_RNA from 1 species